rnacentral:rRNA from 1 species
GAUGAACGCUGGCGGCGUGCCUAAUACAUGCAAGUCGAGCGAACAGACGAGGAGCUUGCUCCUCUGACGUUAGCGGCGGACGGGUGAGUAACACGUGGAUAACCUACCUAUAAGACUGGGAUAACUUCGGGAAACCGGAGCUAAUACCGGAUAAUAUAUUGAACCGCAUGGUUCAAUAGUGAAAUACGGUUUUGCUGUCACUUAUAGAUGGAUCCGCGCCGCAUUAGCUAGUUGGUAAGGUAACGGCUUACCAAGGCGACGAUGCGUAGCCGACCUGAGAGGGUGAUCGGCCACACUGGAACUGAGACACGGUCCAGACUCCUACGAGAGGCAGCAGUAGGGAAUCUUCCGCAAUGGGCGAAAGCCUGACGGAGCAACGCCGCGUGAGUGAUGAAGGUCUUCGGAGCGUAAAACUCUGUUAUUAGGGAAGAACAAAUGUGUAAGUAACUAUGGACGUCUUGACGGUACCUAAUCAGAAAGCCACGGCUAACUACGUG